CUAUGUAUAUAUGUCUGCUUGUCCACUAAGUCAAUGUAUGCCGUUACACACACACACAUACACACCCAACUCUGCCUUCGCCAAAGCAUUUUUACAAAUCAGUUAUCAGAGAUUUUUUUUUAAUAUAUAUUGUUCUUUUUAUAAAUUAAAUUUAAAGUAAAAAAGAACGACAACUACUAUUAAAAUUGCUAUUUCUGCCUGAGCUCCAAGCUUUCGAGUUACGAAUUUUAUGAAGUCACCAGCGGCAUUAAGUAGCAACGUCGAAGUCAUAUCAACCGGUUAAAUAGAAGAUAUAUGACAUCGAACACGGACAUAUGCAUAUGUGUAUUUAUAUAUAUAUGCAGUCUUCAAUUCAUACCGUUCAUUUAGCACGUUUAUAAUAGUUACCAAGUCGUUAGACGAUAAUGGUGAUGACGACGGUGAAAACGAUGAUGUGUAACAUGUCUGUUGCAAAGGUCUUCCAUGUGUUGAAAAAGCGGGCUUUGACUUUUCGGUCUUUGCGAUUCGUGUCUUUAAUCCCAACUGUUAUGCACGACGACUUGUGAUAAAAAGGCAUAUUAAUGGAAUUCCGUUAUUAUACAAAGUAUUUCUUUCUUGUGGAGAAUAAAAGGAGAAGCAGGCCGACAAACAUUCCCUACACCUACGUAAGCGGGAGUUACAACUUUCUAGCUUUUAUAGAAAACAUAGAAUGAGAUAAAUAGAUACCUUACUACACUUUCGCAUAUAACACAUUCUAUAGACACAAGCUGCAUGCCAUUUAAAUUAUUAUUCGAAAACUACCAUAUAUGGCACACGAAAAAAUAAAUACCACUCAGGCAUACACAUCCAAGAAAUAAAAAAGAAAACUCAAAUGCUAACUACAGAAAGCCAGAAGAUAGUUACAAUUACCAAAAAAAGGCGAAUACGAAAAUCAAAACAAAACUACAUUUAUAUAAAAAA